rnacentral:rRNA from 1 species
UGGGUAACGAAUUUACUCCCAAACUCCUGUGACAUACCAAUUGUUGCCUCGGCGGAUCAGCCCGCUCCCGGUAAAACGGGACGGCCCGCCAGAGGACCCCUAAACUCUGUUUCUAUAUGUAACUUCUGAGUAAAACCAUAAAUAAAUCAAAACUUUCAACAACGGAUCUCUUGGUUCUGGCAUCGAUGAAGAACGCAGCAAAAUGCGAUAAGUAAUGUGAAUUGCAGAAUUCAGUGAAUCAUCGAAUCUUUGAACGCACAUUGCGCCCGCCAGUAUUCUGGCGGGCAUGCCUGUUCGAGCGUCAUUUCAACCCUCAAGCCCCCGGGUUUGGUGUUGGGGAUCGGCGAGCCCUUGCGGCAAGCCGGCCCCGAAAUCUAGUGGCGGUCUCGCUGCAGCUUCCAUUGCGUAGUAGUAAAACCCUCGCAACUGGUACGCGGCGCGGCCAAGCCGUUAAACCCCCAACUUCUGAAUGUUGACCUCGGAUCAGGUAGGAAUACCCGCUGAACUUAAGCAUAUCAAAGCGGGGAAGAAAA